rnacentral:rRNA from 1 species
GAUGAACGCUAGCGGCAGGCUUAAUACAUGCAAGUCGAACGGUAAGGUCCCUUCGGAGAUACACGAGUGGCGCACGGGUGCGUAACGCGUAUGCAACCUACCUUUAACUGGGAAAUAGCCCCGAGAAAUCGGGAUUAAUGUCCCAUAUUAUUCUUUGAAUACCUAUUCGAGGAAUGAAAGCUCCGGCGGUUAUUGAUGGGCAUGCGUGACAUUAGCUAGUUGGUGAGGUAACGGCACACCAAGGCAACGAUGUCUAGGGGUCCUGAGAGGGUUAACCCCCACACGGGAAUGGAGACACGGACCAGACUCCUACGGGAGGCAGCAGUAAGGAAUAUUGGGCAAUGGACGCAAGUCUGACCCAGCCAUGCCGCGUGAAGGAUGAAUGUCCUAUGGAUUGUAAACUUCUUUUAUGCAGGAAAAAUAUCCCGGUCGUGAACCGGGACUGAUGGUACUGUAUGAAUAAGCAUCGGCUAACUCCGUGCCAGCAGCCGCGGUAA